rnacentral:rRNA from 1 species
CGAACGGGUGAGUAAUACGUGACCAACCUGCCCCAUGCUCCAGAAUAGCUCUUGGAAACGGGUGGUAAUGCUGGAUGCUCCAACUUGACGCAUGUCUUGUUGGGAAAGUGUUUAGUGGCAUGGGAUGGGGUCGCGUCCUAUCAGCUUGUAGGCGGGGUAAUGGCCCACCUAGGCUUCGACGGGUAGCCGGCCUGAGAGGGCGGACGGCCACAUUGGGACUGAGAUACGGCCCAGACUCCUACGGGAGGCAGCAGGC